UACAGAGGUCCCAAGCGUUGUUCGGAUUCACUGGGCGUAAAGGGUGCGUAGGCGGUUGGGUAAGUCUGAUGUGAAAUCUCACAGCUUAACUGUGAAACUGCAUUGGAUACUAUCCAACUCGAGGAAUGGAGGGGAGACUGGAAUACUUGGUGUAGCAGUGAAAUGCGUAGAUAUCAAGUGGAACACCAGUGGCGAAGGCGAGUCUCGUGGACAUUUCCCGACGCUGAGGCACGAAAGCCAGGGAGCAAACGGG
rnacentral:rRNA from 1 species